GGAAGCCACUGUGGACAUUUAAGGGGUAGGGGAUCAUGUUCCCCCUCCUCAAGGGCCAUGUAUUCACAUAAAUGAUUGGGAUUCCUCUGCAUGAGAGACGCGUCUCUUCUAUUACGUUGUGUUUGUUUUAUGAGACGGCGGCCGCGUGAGCGUAACCACGGUGACGAUUAACAUCAUUAUUUCCGGACGGCGCCGAUACUCUAAGACUUCAAAACUUUGUUGGGAAAAAUAGAAACUUGCAAGAAAAACCCAUGCAGAAGCUGAAAACGGUUUUCUCAAUGGCAAGCCGUGGAGACCCGGUCUUUGGUGUUCCUUUUCUUGAACAAACCAGUGAAAUGGGCCUAUUGGUUAUGCGUGCUUAGCAAAGACCAUCACUUGCGGUGGAGAUAUUUGAGGGCUGCCUGCUCGGGAACUGCCCUGUGUCACACUUCACAAAAGGUUGUCCAAGGUAUGGGCAGAUGUUGUGAGCAAGAAUCUGCAAACAGAACCUCUAGGGUGCUGUCAACGGUGUGUUUAUGCAAAUCUGACGUGGAGUCUAUUUAAUCUCAGCUACUACGGGGUGUGACAGAAGCCCUGGAAUUUCAGGCACUCCUCCCUGGGCACGACUAACGUGCAUUCUUUGUCCCAUUCCCACCUGGACUCUUCACGUCUACUGGCUCGGCUGCCCGCAUCCCAGACUGGGGUGGAGGGCUCUUCCCCAUGCAGAGCUCAGCUUUCUGAGGCAUGCCAUGCAGUGAUCCCUUGGGGGCCUCGCCCUGCACCCAGGGACCACCAUGGUGCCCAAGCUGGCAGCCCCGGAUGCCGUCACGAGUAGCAGCUGUCAUUGUUAAAGAAGCAGCAACAAGAGGAUUGUUGAUCUCAAAAGCAGUACGAACCAACACUUAAUAACAGAAGCAUGUUUUUAAGUUCCCUUCGUAUAUUAUCUCACGUAAUUACCACAGUGACUCCAUCAGAUAUCUUACUAUGCUGCACUCACCCUUCCUCUUGUGAUGAUGUGAGAUGAUAAAUGCCUGUGUGAUGAGAUGAAGCGAGGUGAAUGACGCGGGCCCUGUGACGUAGCAUUUUAGGCUACUAUUGAUCUCCUGACAUAUGUCAGAAAGAAGACCACCCAUUCCAGAGCGUGGUUGACCGCAGGUAACUGAAACCAUGGAAAGUGAAACCAAAAUCGUGGCUAAGGGAGGACUCCUGUGUAUCCUGAUUUCACGAAUGAGGAAAUAAGUCUUAGAGAAGCUAAUUAUCUUGAAGGUAAUAUGGCCAGAAAGGAGCAAAACUAUGAGUUGGAUCACAUUACUCUAUUACCUCCCAAUCUCAUUUGAAGACUAUGCAUCAUAUUUUAAAUAUGUGUUAGCUUUUUGAAAAGAAGUGUUGAACAUCCUCAGGUCCUGCAGAUUUCUGACUUGGUCCUAUGGAUUUUCUUGAUAGUCUUUGUCCUAUUAAUAAAAACUCUUCAUCAAUGUUGCCAGUGUUGAUUCAUAUAUGGUCUCUCAUAGCUUUUGCACCCAUCAAUUACAACGUAAAAUGUUGAACCCAAAUGAAAAAGUUUUGUCUCCUUUAUAGAUGUCAAGUACAGGCAGAUUUGAAAGAUGGCACAAAGGAAUAGAUGUGGAGAUAACAUAAAUAUGAAAUCAGUGGUCACCUCUCUUGAAAAUAUCAAGUCGCUUUGUGUGCGAGCUAUUGAAUGUUAUAUGCAGACACUUUGCAGAAUGAAUGUUGUAUAUGCAGCCAUCCUGUGUGUGCACACUAAACAUUGAUUUCUGAAAUGUGAAAAUGCACUAUUUUCACCAAAGUUGCUCUGCAACUUAAGAAGAUGAAAGUUGAGGGUUGCCCAGCCUCUCUUUCACCCUCCCCACCCCCUACAACCUCCCUUCAAAAGGAUGACAGUGCCUCCAAUUGUCACUGUGAACUUGAAGAUGUUAGAAAGGGGUGGUUGAAGGAGAGGCUCAUCCACCACCAAGUCUGCUUUAUUUUUUUUUUCUGUGAGCUUGUCUUUUCUGAGCUGCAGAACAGCCCUACAAUUGUUACUUAUAAGCAUGAGCUGAGAAAUUUUUGAGAGUCUUAUUUUCUUUCUUUUUUAAAAAAUUCUUUUUAUUUACAUUUAUUUAUUUUUGAGAGACAGAA